CAUAUCUACAGAAGAGAAAAAACAUGAUGGAAAUCAUGGUCAUUACAGGCCCAUAGAACUUGUUACGCUCCAGGGGCACCAAGAGUUGGUUGUGCAAAGCUUGUUUUCGGAUUUGGUAGCACUUUUAGGUUGGUGCCGUUGAACAAGCUAUUAAAUUUAUCCUAUACUUAGGAGGUGUUGCAUACUCUAUUUG